GGAUAACCGUGGUAAUUCUAGAGCUAAUACAUGCUAAAAAUCCCGACCUCUGGACGGGAUGUAUUUAUUAGAUAAAAAACCAAUGCCUUCGGGCUUCCUGGUGAUUCAUAAUAACUUCACGAAUCGCAUGGCCUUGCGCCGGCGAUGGUUCAUUCAAAUUUCUGCCCUAUCAACUUUCGAUGGUAGGAUAGUGGCCUACCAUGGUUUCAACGGGUAACGGGGAAUUAGGGUUCGAUUCCGGAGAGGGAGCCUGAGAAACGGCUACCACAUCCAAGGAAGGCAGCAGGCGCGCAAAUUACCCAAUCCCGACACGGGGAGGUAGUGACAAUAAAUACUGAUACAGGGCCCAUUUGGGUCUUGUAAUUGGAAUGAGUACAAUUUAAAUCCUUUAACGAGGAACAAUUGGAGGGCAAGUCUGGUGCCAGCAGCCGCGGUAAUUCCAGCUCCAAUAGCGUAUAUUAAAGUUGUUGCAGUUAAAAAGCUCGUAGUUGAACUUUGGGUCUGGGUGACCGGUCCUCCUAAUCGAGUGCACUGGAAACCCGGAUCUUUCCUUCUGGAGAACCGCAUGCCCUUUACUGGGUGUGUUGGGGAACCAGGACUUUUACUUUGAAAAAAUUAGAGUGUUCAAAGCAGGCAUAUGCUCGAAUACAUUAGCAUGGAAUAAUAGAAUAGGACGUGCGGUUCUAUUUUGUUGGUUUCUAGGACCGCCGUAAUGAUUAAUAGGGAUAGUCGGGGGCAUCCGUAUUCGAUUGUCAGAGGUGAAAUUCUUGGAUUUUUCGAAGACGAACUACUGCGAAAGCAUUGNCCAAGGAUGUUUUCAUUAAUCAGGAACGAAAGUUGAGGGAUCGAAGACGAUCAGAUACCGUCGUAGUCUCAACCAUAAACUAUGCCGACUAGGGAU
rnacentral:rRNA from 1 species